UUAAAGGAAACAGAGACAUUCUACUGUAAAGACUCUUCUUUGUCCUUAUUCAGAAUAUGUGCAAACUUAAGCUUGAUUAAUAUGUAUAGGUCAUGUAUAUUCAUUUUGAGGUGGGGAGGAACAAAGACGUUCGACACGUGCUCAUACAUUCUAUACAUUCUCUAUUGUUACCAUGACAAUCACUGGCACACAAUGUCUGGUUUAAUUUAAAGCCAGAAACGUGUGAAAAGCUACUUGAAUUGAAAUUUCAAAUUCCCAAUACCCAAUUGAUUUUGGAGAUGGAGAUAGGAGAGACAGAGGCUGGGAGAAAGGAUGAACUGAUUAUGCUGUGAGUGGCCAGGCGACAAUUUCAUUUGGCCAACGUUGGCGAUAAACUUAUACAGCAAUUGAAAAGUGCUCGAGGCGUUGGAUGGACCGAAGAUGGUAGAUGAAGGGCGUCGAAAAAGCCUGGUCUUUUUUGCUCUGCCCCCUUUUCGUUUCGAAACGAAAACGAAACGAAUUGCAGACGAAAGCGAUAGAUUAUACAGUAGCAAUGUGUCGACAGCGAGACGAUGACGUUGUGGAUUAUAGGAGAAUGAGGUCGUCGAAGGAUACUGCAUUGCUUGUGUAAGACGCCGAGCGGACAUUAUGCAUACAUAUAUGUAUG